GGAAUUCCAUGAUUGAAGAAAUCUUGGAAAGACUAUUAUAUAAAUCUGAAAAUGUCCACUCUAUCAAAUGUCUUCACAACUAAGCAAGAUCCAGAAUUAAUGCCAGGAUUGUUGACCCAAAGAGGAUAGAGCAGGACCAGACAAUAUCAUUAUCAUCCACCAAAUGAAACAUUAAGCAUCAAUAAAGCAAGGAGAGAGAGAGUCCAUUGUGACUGCUAGCUGCGCAGUAUGAUAUUUAUUUCGUUUGCAAUAGAAAGGAGCACCAGCCAAGCACCCUAAAUGAAUAAGAAUUAAUGGGACAACAGAGGGAAUCCAUGAUUCUUAUUCAACCGAGUUGAAGCCAACAUUGGGGUCUAAAGUUUUUAAUUUGAGCAUCGACUCUACACAAAUACUGGCCCACUGACAUAAUUAUGGGUCGAGAAAUUGGCAUCUCUUCGGAUCUUUUUUUCCCCCUUAAAAGGUUUUAUUUAUUUUUAUUUAUUUAAUGAGAAGUUGGAUAAAUUUGAAAGGAAAAUGAUACUUAUAUCGAAAACUAAAAGUAAUUCGAUGAUUUUUUUAGAGGUUUUCUACCAUUCAUUUAAAUUAUUAUAAUCUUAAACCAUCCAUCUAUGUA